rnacentral:misc_RNA from 1 species
GAUGAAGAACGUAGCGAAAUGCGAUACGUAAUGUGAAUUGCAAAUUCAGUGAAUCAUCGAGUCUUUGAACGCUCAUUGCGCCCCCUGGUAUUCCGGGGGGCAUGCCUGUCCGAGCGUCAUUGCUGCCCUCAAGCACGGCUUGUGUGUUGGGCCCCGUCCUCCGAUCCCGGGGGACGGGCCCGAAAGGCAGCGGCGGCACCGCGUCCGGUCCUCGAGCGUAUGGGGCUUUGUCACCCGCUCUGUAGGCCCGGCCGGCGCUUGCCGAUCAACCCAAAUUUUUAUCCAGGUUGACCUCGGAUCAGGUAGGGAUACCCGCUGAACUUAAGCAUAUCAAUAAGCGGAGGA